CGCUGGACCUCGUCCGAUCACGGAAGUUAAUCAGCGUCGGGCGCGGUCAGUACUUGGACGAGUGACCGCCUGGGGAAUACCGCGUGAUGU